UUAAAUAUAGUCAAUGAAUUGCUAAUUUAUGUCGAUCUUGCUCAAGUUGGAAUUUUGGUAAAUAUUGUUGCCUUUCCUUUGGCCUCAAUUCAAUAUAAUGCUACAUUGCAUUAAUGAUCUUACAUCCAGCACACAGAAAAUUUAUUAUGAUAUUCUGUAUAGUGUACUCCUUUCUGAGAAUUUGUGGAUGAGGAUUGAGGAAUAAAAAAACCAGAUUGAUCUUGGGAUGGGUUUGAGCUUAAAAAAGUUAUUUGUUUGCUAAUUAAUGAUUAUUUUCAAUUGAUAGAAUCAUUUUGAUGUCAAAAUUAAAAAAAUUUCCUUUGUAUUUGCGGUAAUAAAUUUCGUUGAAAUUUUUUAUUUCCCACGCUUUGAUCCUGAAGCAACAACUUGUUUGUAAAACUUGUGCAGUCUAAACCUAUUGGAGAACUGUGGUUUAUACUGGUCAAAGCUGUUAAGCAACCAUGCGCCUCAAUAUCCAUGUCUUACAUUCUGGUGGUCAAAGAUAGCUAAUUAAGAAAGCUCCAUAGGCAGAAUGGCAAGUCUUUAUACGGCAGAGCAACAGAGCUCCCUUUCUCUUCUAGCUGAAGCUCUGUCCUUGUUUACAAAGCUCUAUACUCAAUUCAUACACACAAAUGCUUCAAGAUCAGGCUCUAAUCAACAAUGUAAAUGUAACAUGUCAUGGAUGUCAAGAUGAAAAAAUGUUGAGUAGUGACAUAUGAAUAGGAAACCUGGCAACUGGCUUUAUGUAUAACUGUAAAUUUUUCUUUUCCUUAUCUUAUUGUUGUUUGAAUAUGAAUGACUGGCUAUCAAGUUUGUCAUUAUAGGACGUGAUUUCAAAAGUACUUAAAUUGCUUGUGUUAAGAAGUAGAAUUUAUUUGUAUACUCAGAUACUUGUUUUAAAUUUCAAUUUUUUGAACACUACUAAGAAUAUAUAAUUAUAUAUAUAUAUAUAUAUUUGUAUUAUGUGUAUUUCUGGGGAGAAGCCCAAGCAGUGGGACUCUGUUCUUGCUGUGGUUGACAGUGAUUCCAAGAUGUCUCACCUACAGAUCCAUUUCCGGAUUUAGGCCCUUGGAGCAAAAUCUUCUUGUUUGCAUAUAUUGUUACUCUUAAGGAAACUUGAGUGGCAUUCAUUUUUACAUCUGCAGAUGAGAAAAACCAAGGGAAAAAAUGUUUGUGGAUAUUUGCUUUUAGGAGAAUCUGUAGAGGAAUUGCACCUGCUGCCAGAGUUACAGCCAUGGAAACAGACUCAGAAGAUCCCAAGUUUCCUGAUGCCAGAGCUGCAGAGACACCAGAAUCUGCAAAUGUAGAGCACCUGGCUACAAGAUCAACGGACCAAGAUAAGGGUAAGGCAGUACAGCUCACCAAGACUGUCUCGAUGUUGCUGCUGGAAUCCAGGGCCUUGCAUCAUCAGAGAGAGUUUUGAGCUUUGACUCUGACAUGUUGACGUAAGUUGGUAAUAUGGCUGCAUCUACCAUGACAGAACUGGAAGCUUUCAUGGAGAGGUUUGAACACAAGAAAUACAGUGCUAGACUUGCCCCUCGGUUUUGGUCAUUGGAGGGCCCCCAAGCUGACUUUUGUCAAUUUAAUGUUCAACAAGACUGUCAUUCUGCUGGAUCAAUUAGUGGGACGUUAUGGUGACUUCACUGCAGGCUUCAAGAUUGGAGCAAUCACUGACCAUUUUAUGAUCAACCUGCUGUGUGAGGUCUUGAUGGACAUGCACCAUUCAAGUUUGGACACCAUCAAUGAGACUAGGU